rnacentral:misc_RNA from 1 species
GGCAAUCUCUGUUUCAAUUUAAUACAAAUCAAUGCUCUAGUCGGCCUUGACCAAUAUUUCAUUUAAUUUAGACGAAAACAAAAACUCAUUAUUCACCUCACCAACCAAGAGCCAUAGGUAGAACUGGCCAGAUUAGGUUCUCCAUUGUUACAAAGAGAGGAUUAAAUUUAAACAUAGAACAACAAGAGGAAACAAAUGCAAACUUCAAAACGAACAUUAUAACCGAAACAAGCGAUUGACAAAGAACAUGGUAGCUUCAACUGAUGGUCUACUCGGGCUUUUCGGCGAUGAAACUGACACACUGAACUUGGCGGAAACUGUCAAAACCGAUCACCCGGACGAAUGCUGCAGGGUACUCUUUCUUGCACUCGCCGAUCUCCUUCACCACCUGAGCAGCAUCAGUACAGCCGAACAUGGGCAGCUUCCACAUUGUCCAGUAGCGCCCAUCGUAGUACCCAGGAGAACUGUGGUAUUCACGGGACACAAAUCCAUCCAGACUGAACUCUAGGCAAGGGACCCAUCCGUUUCGGAUGAGGUACUCAAUCUGCUUGAGCAGUUGCUCCACAGAAAGGGUUGGAAGGUAGGAGAGGGUCUCGAACUUCUUCUUCCCCACGAUGGGCCAGACUUUCAUGCACUGCACUCUGCCGCCGUUGCUGGGAAGGGUGGAGAGCCCGGUGGCAGGCUUCUGGGUGACAGGGAAGGCAGAGGAGGACUUGAGGCCGACGAAGGGAGCGACCAUGCUGGCCUGUGCUGGUGCUGGUGAGGCACGGGCAGCUGUGGCAACAGAAGAGAGCAUUGUUGCGGAGGAGGCCAUU